rnacentral:misc_RNA from 1 species
CAUUCGGUCAUUCCCAUUCCUCAAUUCCUCAUGCUAGUCAGAAAUCGGAGGCCGCAGCAUGCUGCCAGCAACAAUACAAACAGUUAAAACUAAAACAGUACAGAGUUAUCUACACACAGUGAAGCAUAUUAUAAAACAGUGUAUGAAAAUGUGAAUACGAAGAGAUAUUUAAAGAAGAGAACUGUGUCAUUAAUAUCGCAGUCAUCGCAGUGUAUUUUUAAAUAUGGCGCAGAAUGAGUUUCCUCUUCAUUCAGCCACAAAAAUUGGGCAGCUGAAAAAAGUAAAACAGUUGAUUGAAGGAGGAGCAAUAAUCAAUGAAGUGGAUUCUAAUGGUUUUACGUCACUACAUAUAGCUGCAAAUGCCAAAGCCAGACAUAUAAAAGUAGUCAAAUACUUAUUGGCACAGGGUGCAGAUGUAAAUGCAAUCGAAACUUCUGAGGGAAGGAGCGCUUUACAUUUUGCUACGCGCAAGAAUGAUCUUGAAAUGGUUCGAUUAUUCACAGAAGCUGGAGCAAAUAUACAGUGUUCAAAUAUCUACGGACAUAUGCCUAUUCAUGUUGCUGCUGAAGUAGGAUACGUAGAAAUUGUGAAACAUUUUUUAGAACGUGGGAUAGAUGUAGAUAUUCUAAAUGAAAGCAGUAAAAUGACGCCUCUUCAUAUGGCUGCAUGUGGUGGUUACAUCGAAGUAGUAGACUAUUUACUGUUAAAUAAUGCUAACGUUCGUCUCAAAGAUUGUCAGAAACGAGGUUCGAUUCAUCAUGGUGUUUUAGGAGGGAAUGCAAAAAUUGUUCAUGGCCUUAUAGAAAAAGGAGUUAAUAUAAAUGCUAAAGAUAUCUUCAAGAUGACUCCUUUAGAUUUAGCGUGUAGAGAUGGGAAUUUAGAAAUUGUCCAGUUACUUUUAGAAACCGGUGCAGUGUUUAACCUACAGGAGAGAUGCCGGAAUUAUUCUCCACUCCAUUGGGCAUCUGAAACGUGUAGUCUAGAUGUUGUAAAGUAUUUUAUCAGCUUAGGGGUAGACGCGAAUUUCGGUACAAUUCAAGAAUUUACUCUUCUCCAUGUAGCUGUUAAAUGGGAUCACAUUACAAUGGUUAAAUAUUUGGUUGAAAUUGGUGCUGAUGUUAACAAGAAAACUAUACCCAAGGGAGCUACUCCACUAUAUUAUGCGAUAAAAAAUAUAUACACAGAUAUUGCAGAGUUCUUAAUUCUAAAUGGAGCUGAUCUAAAAGAAGCUGAAUAUAAAGGCAAAUCUACUUUAUCGAUAGCCUUAGAAGAUGUGUCAAGUGAUUUUCCAGGGUCAGACCAGACAGAGUAUAUGGUACUUGCAAAACUAAUAAUCAAAUAUACCGUGUUAAUUUACAAUCCCAUUGAAACAUUUAUUCCGGAUGGUUGUCCUUUCUUCAAAGAAUUAUCGCAAUACUAUAACGACUGCCAAAAAGAAAUAACAAGUAUGAGCGAUGUGACAAUAAAAAAUAGUACUGUUUCAUUACAUAAAAUAAUUUGCAGCUCCAAUAAAGGCAACGCGUUUGUUCAAUAUCUAUGUAACGACAAUAUUAAAAACGAGUUGGAAAAUAUUGAAGAUUACCUUAAAGACUUUUUGAUAUAUGGUAAUAUUCUUCCGUUGGUACAACUUAGGGUUAGGAAAGGGUUUCAAAGAAUGGGAUUACUUACAGAUGCUGACUUAAUAAUGAAAAAAGUUUCACCUAAGUUACCAUCCGAAAUAAGAUGGAGAGUAUUCGACUACUUGGACAUGACUGAUCUUAAAACUGUGAUACAAUCAGAUUUUAUUUAAAUAAAUUGAUUAUUUGUUUGUUUCUUUUUAAAAACGUUAUGAUUUGAGGGGAGGGUAGUAGAGAAAUACCGCGCUCGGGGAAUAGAUUACAGCAUCAACCCAUACGUAAAAGUAAAAUUUCUCCCUACCAGUUCAGGUUCAGCGAUGCUGUUGUUACGAGAGAGGCUUUGUUCUUAAUACAAGUCUUAUUCCAGAGAUGCAGAGACGUCAAUUGCGACGUAUACCCAUGUAUGGUUGAUUACGAGAAAGCGUUUUAUAGAAUACAGCACGCCAAGAUGAUGCAAAUACUAAAAGAAGCAGGAAUUUACAAUCAAGAUCUGAAAAUAAUUAAAUACCUUUACCGCAAAUCUCAGAAGGUAAACACACCGAAUAUGUGAAGAUCAUGCGUGGAGUAAAGUAAGGCUAUAUUUUUUAUCUCUUCUAAUUUUCAAUCUUUACUCCGAAAGAAUCGAAGCUUUGCACGAAACUGAAAAAGGUAUUAUACUAAAUUGGUACCGACUAAUUAAAAUCAGAUAUACAGAUGACACUAUAGUAUUUGUGGACAACCUAGAAGACCUACAAGUCCUUAUGGACAAAAUUACGUAUUACAGUCAACAAUAUGGACUCAAUAUAAACACCUGCAGAAAGAGUGAAGCGCUACAACUAUCUCGGCACCAUAAUAAAUGAAGAAUGGACCAACAACUAAGAGAUACACCUUUAACCAGAUAAGAGCCUUUUCAAGAGCCAUAGCGUCUCUCUUGGUAUAAAAGUAAGAAUGCUGCAAUGAUCCGUCUUCUCUGUCCUUUUUAUGGUGUUGAAUCGUGGACCUUGAACCAAAAUAUGUGCAGAAAAUUGGAAUAAUUUGGGAUGUGACCGUAUCGAAUAAUACUUAAAAUCCUGUGUACUGAAUGAGUCACAAAUGAGGAGGUCCUCGGAAGAAUGAAGAAGAACCGAGAGGUACUGACCACCAUAAAAUCUAGAAAGUUUAAUACUUCGGACACAUUAUGUGUAUGAAGAUCCCUUACGUAUAAUUACUUUUAUAAUUCGGUUAGUACUAAUUUUUUUUUAACAACCACUUAAUAUAAACAAUAUCUACUAUUUCCAGUCUUGUGCUUGCAGCCGUGACGUAGUUUUCAUUUUGUUGUUUAAAGGGUGACUUUUAUAAUAUCUUGACAGAAUGAGUAAGAUAUUAUGUAGGUUUUUUGAUCUAUGGUGUUGUAUCCCAUAUUUGGUUUUAGUCCACUCUAUGUUAUAUCAAGGAUAGUAAUUUUUUAUGUUUAUCAUUGUUUUAUAAAAAAUAAAUUCGAUAUUAAUAUAUUGAUUUGAUGGGAAUUAUCUCGACCAUUUUUAUAUGAAGUAUGAAGACUUAUAAUAGAAUAUUAUCUACAAUAAUGUAACAUAAUAACUUUAUACCAUUUAAAGAGUUUUCACCCAUAUAUUUUUAGUAGCUAAACCAUGUAGGUAUAUAUCUGAUAAUGGAAUUGUCAUUUCAAAAAUGUUCUGUGAUGUAGCCCGAAAGGGUCAUUUUAAUAAAUAUAUCUUUUAUAAA